GAGUAUCAGAAAAGGGUUCAAUCAGUGUGACUAAAUGACAAUGGUAGAAUCCGAGCGAAUACAGAAAAAUCGUAAAAUCCCGGCGAAUACCAGGAAAUGGUAGAAUCCGUGCGAGUACCGGAAAAUUGUCCGGGCGAGUACCGGAAAAGGGUUGAAUCAGUGUGACUAAAUGAAAAUGGUAGAAUCCGAGCGAAUAAGGAAAAAUCGUAAAAUCCCAACGAAUACCGGGAAAUGGUAGAAUCCGUGCGAGUACCGAAAAAC
rnacentral:lncRNA from 1 species